rnacentral:tRNA from 1 species
CGGAGUGUAGCGCAGCCCGGUAGCGCACACCUUUGGGGUGGGUGUGGUCGCGGGUUCAAAUCCCGCCACUCCGACCG